AAGAUCACACUUCACAGGAUUAUUUCUGUAGUAUGCAUCGUCCCCUCCAGGUGCAAAUAUGGAGUCGUCAUCAGCCACGAUGAUGAGACUUGUCCAUCUACUUGAGCGUGAGAUCGCUGCUUAUCUUUUGAUCUGAGAUCAUGAUAAUCAUGCAACGAUGAACGCUUACGAUUCGCCGGUUAGUGGGUUGACACUGUUGACAGUCUGAGUGGU